rnacentral:tRNA from 1 species
GAGAGUAUAAUUUAAUGGUAGAAUAAUUGAUUCCAAAUUAAUUUGUAAAAGUUCAAAUCUUUUUACUCUUG